rnacentral:rRNA from 1 species
AUUGAACGCUGGCGGCAGGCCUAACACAUGCAAGUCGAGCGGAUGAAGGGAGCUUGCUCCUGGAUUCAGCGGCGGACGGGUGAGUAAUGCCUAGGAAUCUGCCUGGUAGUGGGGGAUAACGUCCGGAAACGGGCGCUAAUACCGCAUACGUCCUGAGGGAGAAAGUGGGGGAUCUUCGGACCUCACGCUAUCAGAUGAGCCUAGGUCGGAUUAGCUAGUUGGUGGGGUAAAGGCCUACCAAGGCGACGAUCCGUAACUGGUCUGAGAGGAUGAUCAGUCACACUGGAACUGAGACACGGUCCAGACUCCUACGGGAGGCAGCAGGGGGGAAUAUUGGACAAUGGGCGAAAGCCUGAUCCAGCCAGGCCGCGUGUGUGAAGAAGGUCUUCGGAUUGUAAAGCACUUUAAGUUGGGAGGAAGGGCAGUAAGUUAAUACCUUGCUGUUUUGACGUUACCAACAGAAUAAGCACCGGCUAACUUCGU